rnacentral:lncRNA from 1 species
AAUCCUCUGUAUCACAGUCUAUACUAAUACAGUGGAACUCAAAAAAUAAAAAAAAUUGAAAUAUAGAAGAAGAGUAGCUACCACUCCACUCUUCUCCUCUCUCUCUCUCUUUAACUCUCUCUCUCUCUAUACAUACGCCAUUGUUAUUACAAUCGAAGCUUCAAGUUCUGUUUCUCUGUUUUACUUUUGUUGUUGAAGAAGAAGAAGAGAGGAUGGAGAAAAACACACCGGUGAGGAAACUGAACAUGUCGACGGCGGAUCUAUUAACUUGGCCGGAGAAUCAACCGUUUGAUUCUUCCGCCGCCGUUUUUUCUUCUCGCUCCGCCGUUAGAUCGCACCAGGUACUUGAUUACGCGAUCUUAGCCGUCGGAUUGAUUUUAUUUUACAAAUCAC